AUACUGAGAGACAAUGUGCUUUAUUCUAACUGCUUUAAAGUCACAUCAGGCAUAAAGCUAUGGUGUAUAGGAUGACACUGGUUAUAUAUAUAUAUUACGGAGAGGUAUUAAUUAUAUAUAUGACCUGUGUUUAAAUGUCUUACUGGUAUUUAACCUAUUUAACAUGUUCAUGUUCAUGUCAUCUCUUUCCUCAAGUUCUUCAUCGCAGGGCUGUUGUCUAACCUCCUCCACAGAGAACCAAGGCUUCUACCGGUGUGUUUCCGUGCCAACCUGGCGUGUGUCGCCUCCGCUGCUGUGGGGGUGGUGAUCAUGUGUGUAGACCUGGCGCUGGUCACGGACAAAGACGCACACAAAAAGACGGAGAUUCUGGUGAUGUGUGUGA
rnacentral:lncRNA from 1 species